GACUACUGGGGUAUCUAAUCCUGUUUGCUCCCCACGCUUUCGCGCCUCAGCGUCAGUUAUGGACCAGUUGGCCGCCUUCGCCACCGGUGUUCUUCCCAAUAUCUACGAAUUUCACCUCUACACUGGGAAUUCCACCAACCUCUUCCACACUCUAGUCUAAUAGUUUUGAACGCAGUUCCCGGGUUAAGCCCGGGGAUUUCACGCCCAACUUAUCAAACCGCCUACGCGCUCUUUACGCCCAGUAAUUCCGAACAACGCUUGCUCCCUUCGUAUUACCGCGGCUGCUGGCACGAAGUUAGCCGGAGCUUAUUCUGCAGGUACCGUCAUCAUCGUCCCUGCCAAAAGGGCUUUACAAUCCGAAGACCUUCAUCACCCACGCGGCGUUGCUGGAUCAGGGUUUCCCCCAUUGUCCAAUAUUCCCCACUGCUGCCCCCCGUAGG
rnacentral:rRNA from 1 species